AUAUAUAUAUAUAUACAUACAUACGUGUAGGAGUCAAAAAAUUUUCGCUUAGCAUUCCACUAACCUUACUCGUCUCGCAGAGGACGUAUACGGAUGACUCUGUUAUUUAUGCUUAUUUAUGAAAGUUAUUGCAGCACUGCAUUUUUCUUUUCUUGAUCUCUAUCCAGCGUUCUUGAUUUUUCUUUCUUUAUUACGAAUGCAACGAUGCUCUCGAUGAAUACGAUAAACACGAGAUCACGCACACGCUGCUUUUCUUCAUGACACUUGUUAUACUCGUCGAUUUUCAUCGUGUGUGUUUACCGCACAAGAAAUACAUAACAACAUACGCACCAGCUAAAAACGAAACAAAAAUAUAUUAAUUGAUUUACGACCGUUUCGCAAAUACCCGACAACCCUCACGACAUUUCGGAUUCGCGCCAAAGCUUAUAAACAGGCACGAAGCGUCAAAGUGUUGCCAACAAACGAUCCUUAAAAUAAGUAAUACGGAACCUGCGUGUAAUGAUAGAUGUCGUGCGAACUUUGGUACGUUAGGAAGUUCGAUCUUUGAAAGAGAGAUAUUUCGAUAUAUAUCGAGAACUCGAGUUGAGAAAAAAGUCAAGUAACUGUUUUUGCCAGUGGGAGAUCGUGCUUGCGUUUUUACAAUUAAUUAUGUGUCACAGUUGUGUUAACGAUCAACUAUUGUAUCAACAUGCAGCUUGCAUUGAAAUAAUUGAUACGAGAUUCAAAAGUAUUCCGGAAAUGGAUUGUUUUGGAGAACUACUUUGAGUUCAAUGCAACCAUGGAGCUACAAAAUUGGCAAUUGUCGUUUGUCAAAAGGAAAUCGUGCAGAUUUAUACAUUAGGACCGCAACCGUUUCGUUAAAAUUCAAGGCAGACCUCAGUGACGGAACAAUGACGCAAAACAUGAGUUCGCCGGGCGGUUCUUAAGCUUCGUUAAUAGUGUCUCCAAGCGUUCGUCCGAGCCGGACUACGUUUGUCCCUCCUCUCUUACCUGAGGGGACGGAAAUAGAGCAAGAACCCGACACUACCGACGCCGCAACUCCGCCGUGGACUGAACAAUAAACAAUAACACGACGACGCGUGUUACGGGAUAACGACUACCGCGACCUGUUGCCGGCUGCCAAAAAGAUACCGCCGGAUAUUGUGCGUGUGUUAGUGUUAGUGAGGCCGUGAAAUGUUCGUCGUUUCGGUUUCGGAGUAUCUCGCCGCGGUAACGAGGAAUUGUGAUGUGUCAUGGCGGUGAUCGUUCGGCAGAACGGCCACGUUCGCGUACACAUGGCUACAAUGCUAGCUGUCAGAGAGAAAAAGAAAGGAAGAAUGAGAAGCUGACUGCAGAGCGGCUUGGCCACAACGGAACCACUCUCGAUGAGGUAAGUAUUAAGCAAUACGUACGGUUAUACGAACGAAUUCCUUUGAUAAACCGAAUAUGACAGACACUUAAUGCUGGAUACAAUUACGUGGGUAUGCAUUACCUCUGUGUGUUGUCUGCAUCACGUUCGACGAGUGUUUGAAGAUUCGUUUCGUAGAGACAGAAACCGACGCCUCGUGCUAGAGCCGGAACUCGGCGGAAAUUGACGAUUUCUGUCGAGGGACGACCGAGCACGGACUUCGUGGUGAUUCGUGUUAAUUCGCGAUUUCCCGAUAACCAGGGGAACAC